UGACAGUACUCCUACGGGGAGGCAGCAGUGGGGGGAAUAGUUGCACAAUGGGCGCAAGCCUGAUGCAGCCAUGCCGCGUGUGUGAAGAAGGCCUUCGGGUUGUAAAGCACUUUCAGUCGUGAGGAAGGUAGUGUAGUUAAUAGCUGCAUUAUUUGACGUUAGCGACAGAAGAAGCACCGGCUAACUCCGUGCCAGCAGCCGCGGUAAUACGGAGGGUGCGAGCGUUAAUCGGAAUUACUGGGCGUAAAGCGCAUGCAGGUGGUUUGUUAAGUCAGAUGUGAAAGCCCGGGGCGUCAACCUCGGAAUAGCAUUUGAAACUGGCAGACUAGAGUACUGUAGAGGGGGGUAGGAAUUUCAGGUGUAGCGGUGAAAUGCGUAGAGAUCUGAAGGAAUACCGGUGGCGAAGGCGGCCCCCUGGACAGAUACUGACGCUCAGAUGCGAAAGCGUGGGGAGCAAACAGGAUUAGAUACCCUGGUAG
rnacentral:rRNA from 1 species